GUAGGUAGUCGGUCUCCCCUUGCCUUCCCUCUCUGCAACCCCCUCUAGAGUUCCUAAAUAAGCUUAUUUAGGAACCACCCUCCUAACCUGUUUCUUUUCCCGAAGGGAGCGACCGAGCGAGCGAGCGGCACGGUAGCGACGCGAGGGAGCGAGCGAGCUCUGGUCUGCCGCCGGCUGUUGCGUGCCCCCAGCCACCCCAACCACCUUCUCCACGUGCCGGCGCUGCCGCUUGCCGCUAGAUGCAGCCAGUCCUGGCCAUGCCGCCGCCUCGCGUGUAGUACUCCAACACCGGCCGACGCAGCCGCGCUCCACCACCAACCCGCCCGCGCGCACCAUUCUUUGACCUCCCCCGCUUCUACAGGCAGUCUGCUGCGUGCGGUGCUCCUCCAGGUUCCUCCCUGGCUUCCCCACUUGCGUCGCAGGCCACAACCCCUCCUCCCUCCUGCAUCCUGCCACGCGACAGUCUGCAGCGGGCUUCCUCUCCACGCCAUUCCGACCACCAGAUCCACGCGAGCUCGCCCUUUAGCCAUGGUUUCGGGCGUUGACUCUCGCCACUGUGCCUUCCCGGCCCCAUCGAAGCCAGGUGCCGCUGCCGUGGGGAGGUGGGUGGAGAGCACCCUUCUUUAGGCCCGUGGUGGGUGGCCUACUCCCUCUCCGGUGACAUAGCCCUGCCCAUCUCGGAUCUAGCUCCAGUGACACCUUCCCCAUGCCAUCGUUCCAGUGGAGGCGCAGAAGCUUGUUCCGGUGGUGACUUCCUGCUUUUCAGUUAACUUUAGUAGCGCUAAAACUCUUUGCCUCCUUCAGUUAACUUGCUCUUCAUGUCCUAGAUGGAUCUCGUCCUCGAGCAGUUCAUGGUGUGGAUCUCCGGCGGUUAGCUUUUGGGUUUCUUCUACUCCUCCGACCUGGGCUCUGUAGUCUGCAAUUAUUUGGGGGUUAUCUGUAGCUACUAGUUUGCUUGAACUGAAUAAGGAGUUGACUGAGCCGGCCAUUUCAGUUAGCUCAAACCGAAGAAAAAAAGCAUUUACUGACGUGAUGUGUAUAGGUUACAAGGAUGCGUGUAUGUGUACUUGGAUGUUCAGUUCUUACUUGCAAAUAAUGUUGUGUCAAGAGUCAACACAUCCCUGUCCGGUUUAUUAUUUUGGGGAUCCAGUGAUUUUUUUUCCUGUUAGCAGUUAACUUCUGCUCCGUUGCGUCGGGGACCGACGAGGUGCUGGACCCCUCAUGGGGAUUUACUGGUGGAGCGACCUCUCUACAGCUAGCUCAAUUUCAUGGAUAAGUUAGCUAAGUUUCAAGGAGCAGUUUGCUUUACUGAUAGUUAUGUAAAAAAAGAAACAGAGACCACUGCUCAAUUAUCUCUUGCCCCCAUGCUACCAGCAGUGUGAUCCACGGUGCGCAGUUUGCCAAUGCUCAAUUUCAUGGAGUAGUUAGUUCAGGGACUGGCUGCAGUUAUCUUGCUUCCAAAAAAAUUAAGUGAUGUACACAACUAUGAUUUUGCCAAGCCCCUGCUUGCGUGAGGUACAAAAAAUAGCAAUCUAAUGAGAGGGUUCAGUUUGUUUGCCAA